AAAAAAUGAAAAUUAAUCAAAAUUUUAAAAAAAUAAAAAUUAAAAUCACAUAAUAAUUUAGAAAAAAAAAAUAUUUAACAUUUUUAAAAUAAUGAAUGAUUACAAAUAUUAAAAUAAAAGUGGAAGGGACAAUUUUUUUUGGAGGGGACCUCCAAAGUUUGAAUUUUGACGUCUCAUUUGCAAAGCACAAACGAAAAGACCAC
rnacentral:lncRNA from 1 species